ensembl:ncRNA F13E6.8 ncRNA
AGAGCAAAUGCGGGUCUGGACUAGAAGGAUGUUGACAACAGGCGGUUGCAAUUGGAUAACCCCCAGCGCUUUGGAAUCAUUGAAUAAGGGUGGGGACAAGUGACAAAACUCUGUGAUUGGGAGAAAUUCGAC